rnacentral:rRNA from 1 species
UACGUAGGGGGCAAGCGUUGUCCGGAUUUAUUGGGCGUAAAGAGCGUGUAGGCGGCCUGACAAGUCUGCUGUGAAAACUCGAGGCUCAACCUCGAGAUGUCGGCGGAAACUGUCUGGCUAGAGUCCGGAAGAGGAGAGUGGAAUUCCCGGUGUAGCGGUGAAAUGCGCAGAUAUCGGGAAGAACACCCGUGGCGAAGGCGGCUCUCUGGGACGGUACUGACGCUGAGACGCGAAAGCGUGGGGAGCGAACAGG